UGAGGAAUAUUGGUCAAUGGGCGAAAGCUUGAACCAGCAACGCCGCGUGGAUGAUGAAGGCCUUCGGGUCGUAAAAUCCUUUUCUGGGGGACGAGUAAGGACGGUACCCCAGGAAUAAGUACCGGCUGACUACGUGCCAGCAGCCGCGGUAAAACGUAGGGUGCAAGCGUUAUCCGGAUUCACUGGGUGUAAAGCGCGUGCAGGUGGUCUCGUAAGUUGGACGUGAAAUCUUCUGGCUUAACUGGGAGAGGCCGUUCAAUACUGCGGGGCUAGAGGGCAGGAGAGGGAGGUGGAAUUCCCGGUGUAGUGGUGAAAUGCGUAGAUAUCGGGAGGAACACCAGUGGCGAAGGCGGCCUCCUGGCCUGCUCCUGACGCUCAGACGCGAAAGCUAGGGGAGCGAACGGG
rnacentral:rRNA from 1 species